GGCUGGCCUGAGUGCAGUGGUGUUUACAACUAAUUGAUCACAACCAGUUACAGAUUCCUUUGUUCCUUCUCCACUCCCACUGCUUCACUUGACCAGCGUGAA
ensembl:misc_RNA Y_RNA Y RNA